UGCCAGCCGCCGCGGUAAUACAGAAGGGUCGAGUGUUAUUCAUCAUAAUUGGGCGUAAAGGGUUCGUAGGCAGAUAAAUAAGUUAAAAUAAAAUUCCAAAGCUUAACUUUGGGCAAAGUUUUAAUACUGUUUAUCUAGAGUUUAAAAGGGGGUAAUAGAAUUCUUAGAGUAACGAUAAAAUGUUUAGAUACUAAGAGGAAUUCCAGAGGCGAAGGCGAUUACCUGGUUUAAUACUGACGCUGAGGAACGAAAGCUUGGGUAGCAAACAGGAUUAGAUA
rnacentral:rRNA from 1 species